CCUUCGUGUUUUUCCGGCCGAGCUCGGGCAUUUCCGGCCAGCACCAGCUUCGGCGGUUUCCGUGCUGCAUUCGGGUGUACUCGGCAGCCGUUCGGCCUCCCCCAUCCCCCGGUAACGGUCGCUGCUGAGUUUAAAUGAGCCGGGGCUGGGCCGGGCCGGAGCCGCUACGGGGGGGCCUGAGGCGCGACGGAGAGCGGGCCUGAGCCUUGAGAAUGACGGUGCUGCAGGAACCCGUCCAGGCUGCUAUAUGGCAAGCACUAAACCACUAUGCUUUCCGAGAUGCAGUUUUCCUUGCAGAAAGACUGUAUGCCGAAGUACACUCAGAAGAAGCAUUGUUUUUACUGGCAACCUGUUAUUAUCGCUCAGGAAAGGCAUAUAAAGCAUAUAGACUCUUGAAGGGACACAGUUGUACUACACCACAGUGUAAAUAUCUACUUGCAAAAUGUUGCGUUGACCUCAGCAAGCUUGCUGAGGGGGAACAGAUCUUAUCUGGUGGAGUUUUAAAUAAGCAGAAAAGCCAUGAUGAUAUUGUUACAGAGUUUGGUGAUUCAGCUUGCUUCACACUUUCAUUGUUGGGACAUGUAUAUUGCAAGACAGAUCGGCUUGCCAAAGGAUCAGAAUGUUACCAAAAGAGCCUUAGUUUAAAUCCUUUCCUCUGGUCCCCUUUUGAGUCAUUAUGUGAAAUAGGUGAAAAGCCAGAUCCUGACCAAACAUUUAAAUUAACAUCAUUACAGAACUUUAGCAGCUGUCUGCCCAACACUUGCACAACUGUAGUAUCUAAUCACAAUUUAUAUCACAGACAGCCUGAGACAGUUCUAAUGGAAACUCCCCAAGAUACAAUUGAAUUAAACAGACUGAAUUUAGAAUCCUCCAAUUCAAAGUACUCCUUGAACACAGAUUCCUCAGUGUCUUAUAUUGAUUCAGCUGUAAUUUCACCAGACACUGUCCCCCUUGGAACAGGAACUACCUUACUGUCUAAACAGGCUCAAAAUAAACCAAAAACUGGGCGGAGUUUAUUAGGAGGACCAGCUGCUCUUAGCCCUUUAACUCCAAGUUUUGGGAUACUGCCACUAGAAACUCCAAGUCCUGGAGAUGGAUCAUAUCUACAAAACUACACUAACUCGUCGUCUGUAAUUGAUGUGCCAUCUACAGGAGCCCCCUCAAAGAAGUCUGUUGGCAGAAUCAGCCAAGCUGGAACAAAGUCUGUCUUCUCACAGAGUGGAAAUAGUCGAGAGGUAACUCCAAUCCUUGUUGCACAAACACAAAGUUCUGGCCCACAGACAAGUACAACACCUCAGGUAUUGAGCCCCACUAUUGCUGCUCCACCCAAUGCACUGCCUCGAAGGAGCUCACGACUUUUUACUAGUGACAGCUCUACAACCAAGGAGAAUAGUAAAAAGUUAAAAAUGAAGUUUCCACCUAAAAUUCCAAACAGGAAAACAAAAAGCAAGACUAAUAAAGGAGGAAUAACUCAACCAAACAUAAAUGAUAGCCUGGAAAUUACAAAAUUGGACUCUUCGAUCAUUUCAGAAGGAAAAAUAUCCACAGUAACACCACAGAUCCAAGCUUUCACUAUUCAGAAGGCAGCAGCAGAAGGUUUGAUGAGCCUUCUUCGUGAUAUGGGGAAAGGUUACUUAGCUUUGUGUUCCUAUAACUGCAAAGAAGCGAUAAACAUACUGAGCCACCUCCCUUCUCAUCACUAUAAUACUGGUUGGGUACUGUGCCAGAUUGGAAGAGCAUACUUUGAACUGUCAGAAUAUAUGCAGGCAGAACGAAUAUUUUCAGAAGUGAGACGGAUUGAAAAUUACCGAGUAGAAGGCCUGGAGAUCUAUUCAACAACACUUUGGCAUCUUCAAAAAGAUGUUGCUCUUUCGGUUCUUUCAAAGGACUUAACUGACAUGGAUAAAAAUUCACCAGAGGCCUGGUGUGCUGCAGGAAACUGUUUCAGCUUACAAAGGGAGCAUGAUAUUGCAAUUAAAUUCUUCCAGAGAGCUAUCCAAGUUGAUCCAAAUUAUGCUUAUGCCUAUACAUUGCUGGGGCAUGAAUUUGUGUUAACUGAAGAACUAGAUAAAGCAUUAGCUUGUUUUAGAAAUGCAAUCAGAGUCAAUCCUAGACAUUACAAUGCAUGGUAUGGAUUGGGAAUGAUUUAUUACAAACAAGAAAAAUUCAGUCUUGCAGAAAUGCAUUUCCAGAAAGCACUUGAUAUCAACCCUCAAAGUUCAGUUCUACUUUGUCAUAUUGGAGUUGUUCAGCAUGCACUAAAAAAAUCUGAAAAGGCUUUGGAUACCUUAAACAAAGCCAUCAUUAUUGAUCCCAAGAACCCUCUAUGCAAAUUCCACAGAGCCUCGGUUUUAUUUGCAAAUGAAAAAUAUAAGUCUGCUUUACAGGAACUUGAAGAAUUGAAACAGAUUGUUCCCAAAGAGUCCCUCGUUUACUUCUUAAUAGGAAAGUGUCAAUAUUUAUUUUUAGGUUUACAAGAAGCUAGGUCAGACUCAUCUGGCCCUGAUGAAUUUCUCCUGGGCAAUGGAUUUAGACCCUAAAGGAGCUAACAACCAGAUUAAAGAAGCAAUUGACAAGCGUUACCUUCCAGAUGAUGAGGAACCUAUAACUCAAGAAGAACAGAUCAGUGAGUGUUAUCCAUAUGAAUCAGUGGGAACAGAUGAAUCCCAAGAGAGCAGCAUGACAGACGCAGAUGACACACAACUCCACGCAGCAGAAAGUGAUGAAUUUUAAAUUCUGGAAGCCAGACAUUUGCACCUGGAUGUGUGACUAGUGCUGUUAUUUUUUCUUGUCCCUCCAUGUCCUGAGUCUUCACAUCUCGAGCCAGCAUCGUCAUUAUCCAUCACUUACACCAGGAAUGUGCCAUUUUCAUCGGACCCAGACUGUACACAGAAUGAAUGAAUGGCAGUGCAAUAUUCAUCUGCUACCAAGACUGGCUCUUUCACCUAUAUGAACAUGACCGUUUGUGGGGGAAAGACUUUUUUUUCUUUUGUCUUUUUUGUUUGUUUGUUUUUUUAAGCCUCCCUUUGUUGGAAAGCUAUCAUGGAAGGAAGAGUUGUGUUUUGCCCUAAGGGAACUUUUAGCCAAGGGAAAUAGUGAUGAACCAGAACUUUUUGGUCUUUCUCCAGAAACUUGUCUUAAUUUAGUUGUGUUCUUGGUAAGUGGAGUGACUGACCUUCAUUUCCAGGUUCUUCAAGGAUGGUGUUGGCAAGUGCCAGAUGGAACAAUAAAAGACAUUGCCUAUUACAGAGUAACUUGAAUGCCAAGGAAUGUAAAUUACCUUAAAAUUACAGUGUCUCCUGUAAACAAAUAUAAUGGGCAUAAUCCAGACACUUGUGUGUGUAAGAAUAAAAUGUCCCUCCAUACAGUGUAAACUUGCUCUUGGUAAGAGGAGAGUGUCCCAGAACAGCAGCUUUUACAAAAUGUUUUUAUACCUAACCAAGAGUUUUCAAUUUAUUACCUAGCUUCAAAGUGUCAAUCACUGUUGUUUUGGUAUUACAGACUAAAAAGUUGGUUGUUACCUCUUCUCUUAAGCCCUGUGGGAUCACCUUUAACAUUUAAAGAUAGGGUAGUUACCUAUUAAAAGAUCAAACCAAGUCCCCUAACAGGAAAUAAAAUUCACAAUAAUAAACAGUAUACAAACACUAAAUCAAUCUAGAAUCUAAGGGAUCAUGACAGUGGAAGCCUUAAUAUAAUUAGAACCUUUACCAUAAACUUGAAUCUAUAUUGUUCAAGACAGUAUCCUUUCAACUUUUAUAAGUGUUGUUUAAGCAGGAUGCAAGAAUGUGCAAUUAAUUUGGGGUUGUGGUAGUAUCCAUUUUUAAGGUUCUCUGCUUCUAAUUCAUUUUCGAUGGCAUAGGUCACCAAAAUCUUGGUUUGGAGUAGGUUAGGUUUAGGCCAAUAGAAAUUUUUUAGUUGAAACAUAAGCCAGAUUGUAUGAAGGUGGCAGAAGUUCUCUCCUGUGUCAAAGUAAUGUACAGCAAUUUAGGUUGAUGGUGUCCUUGGGGAAUGGGCAUAAGUUUCAUAUUACAGGAUUUUAAAGAGCCAAUUAUGCACAAUAAAUUGGGAAUGAUUGAAAUUUCACAACAACCUAUUUAAGUAGUCUUUAAACAUAUGUUCCUCCUUUAUUUUAAUGUAUGUAAUUUUUAGGGAACCUUUAGUUAUUAACAUUUUUUUAUUUAGUGCCAUUGUCAGUGCAUAUCAAAUGACAAUUUCUUAACGACAGGAGUAGAUACAGUUUGGGGUCAUUUUGAUGAAGGAAAAACUUAUCAACCAUUGACUUGUACUUGCUAAUAACCAAGCUGUGAAAAUUAGGUGGAUUAUAGGAGAUACGAAAAAUUUUUAAUCUAUGGAUUUAUUAAUGUUAGAAUAUGAGUAGAUUUGACAUUCACUAUUUGUCUUCUCUUUUAAACAUGCACUAAAUCCUGUUGCCAAUUAAUGCAAGUCAGAGUACUAGAUGAAGGUAUUUGGUGCCAGAGAGGUAUUUCAUCAAAUUUUUCUACUUGAUCCACAUAUAAGCUCCUCGAGAAAAUUGAUGAGGAAACCCAGAUUGAAUGAAAGGAGCACCACUGAAAUUUCCCAAGGGCUGCUGCUUCGAUUUCUAGCAGAAUAUUGCAUUUUGUUUAUCCACUUGUAGUUUUGUAGCAUUUAAAUUUAGUUUAGGUUUUUCCCCCCAAUUGCCCAGCCUUAAACCAGCUGUCUCAUCUAGCAUUUCAUAGAAAGUUUUCAACAGGGGUAUUGCUGCAAAACCCCACACUGUACUGUUUGGAGAAAGUGAAGUUAGCAACAUUAUUUUCUAAACUACAAUUGGAUACCUUUCUGUACUGGAAGUUUACAUCCACUACACCAAAGGUAGAAAUCUUUCUGGUGCUAGUCCAUUGGAGAUGAAUGGAAAAUGGUCAUUGUCAAGGGCAUACCAUGACUGGAAGGAAAUCCAUCAAUUUUGUUGGGAUCAAUCUUAAUUUCUUUCUUCCUUAGGCCAGUUUUCAAAGCCAUUUCAUUCUAUGGAGCUUUUCCCCACCCAGCAACAGUUUCUAAUUCUUUCCCCUACCCCACAGUUCCCUUCUUCCUUCAAAUAAUAGGUAGAAAAGGGAGUUAUGAAAAAAACCCAAAGAAGCUCAUUUUUAUUGAACUAAAAGUUGUUUCAAACAGCUAUAGUUCAUUUAGAAGAAAUUUUUUAAACAAAAUUACCAAGUACACCUUGACAGUUUGCUUUUUUUUCUGUUAUAUAUAUAUUUUUUAAUUUUGUUCAGAAGUUACAAGUUGUUGCAUUGGAAUUCAGUUUUGAAAAAUUGCCUUGGAAAGGGUUCUUAACUCUGGAAUUUUAGAAGGAUAGGAAUUCUUCUUCUAAAGUGGAUGGUGGUACUCAAUAAUAAAAGAUGGUCCCUGCUUUCUCCAUACUUCAUUACUUAAGAAAUUUUAUUUUUUCCAAGAGCUAAAAGUAACCUUUGAACCAUGCUGCUGUUGUACCUUAAACAAAAAAACUCAGUGAUGACCAAUAUUUAGUCUAUUAAAAACACUUUGAAGAAAAUAGUUUGGAGGUCUCUGAUCCGGAACAUAGUAUGGGUAUUCACUGAGGAAUAAGGUGACUCAUUUUCUUAAUACAAAACAUGACAACAAGG